CUGAGCUUCGCCGAUGCAAGACUCAUAGUCCCCUUAGAUUCCUGUUAUGAUUGCCGUUCUCUUCUUACAAAGGACUUCGUUGCUCUCCAGUCUAAGACUUUCAGUAAAGCAGACUAUCUUUUAAUGCAAUAACUCAGAGAAUCACAAACAGGAUGCCAACAGAGGGAUGAGCUCAGGCCUUAGAGUUGGACAAAGCUGCAUUCAGAUGCCAGCUCUGCAGUCUGCUAGCUUCAGGACCCCACCAGAGCCUCCAUGGAUGAGAGAGCCGAUAUCUGCCUUCUGGAGUUCCUGUAGAAAUUAAAAGGGAUGAGAAAAAUCUCACUCUGUCAUCUAGCCGGGAGUGGAGUGGUGCCAUCUCAGCUCACUGUAGCCUCCACCUCAUACCUCCAGGGUUCAAGCGAUUCUCGUGCCUCAGCCUCCCGAAUAGCUGGGUUUACAAGCAUGUGCCACCAUGCCCAGCUAAUUUUUAUAUUUUUAGUGGAAACGGGGUUUUACCAUGUUGGCCAGGCUGGUCUCAAACUCCUAACUUCAAGUGAUCCACCCACCUCAGCCUCCCAAAGUGCUGGGAUUGCAGGCGUGAGCCACCGCGCCCAGCCCAAUUCGCUACUUUCUAAGUCUUAUCCAUUUAUUUUACUGGCUGCAUAGCAUUCUGUUGUAUAGAAUGUAGAAUAAAACACAGUUGAACCU